rnacentral:lncRNA from 1 species
CUUGAUCUCUGCUGCAAUCGCUAUCCUGUUUGAAAGAGACCCAACACCAUCUUCUGUCUGCUCGCUUUUUAUAUCCUCCCCUAUCUCCCAUCAAGGCGAGUUCUGAUCUCGCUCAUCGUCACCCACGACGGCCAUUUUAUUCAUAUAAAAAUCGGUUUUUUCGAAUCGUUUUUCGUUUUCUCCGUCUUUUGAAUGGUAAAAGGUGAGAACCUUGACGGGUUGGUCGAUGAACUGGUGCUGAAAAUUUCUGUCAAAAUACUUUUUUUCCGUCAUGUUUCUUGCGUUUUUUGAUCUUCGAUUGGAUUUGCUAGGCUGCUUCGUGUGUGAUGUCCUUUGAUGCGUUUGAAAUCUUUGAUUUUAUCGAAUUGUGUCUCUAUUUCCAUGAAUCAGUUCACAUGCCCAUCCUCAUAACUAGAGCAGAUUCCCGCCAAUUAUCGUAAGUAAAAGCUGAAAACUUUCAUGAUUCUAUUGUUUUCUAAUCUUGGGUUAGUUUCUUUAGUUCGCAUCGUCUAAUUCCGAUGUCAGUGGUGUAUUAGGCUUUCUUGAAACUUCCCAACUGGUUGCUGGGGCUUUUGAUCAUUGAGGGGAUUCAUGCUUUCUAAUCCAUUAAAGAGGGAGUAGUUGUUAGUCCAUUCAUGGAUUUUAGUCUUCUGCUGUGAUCAAAUGGAGGCUUUCGAUGGCCCAAUUUAUUGAACUAUCUCUGAUGCCUAGUUGUAUGUUGAUAGUCUUCUUUGCUUGCCCUUUAAUUUCAUUCAAUCAAGUGCUGUGCUAUUUUGUGUUAUUUCAUUUUCCUUUUUGGAAUUUCCCUU